CCGUGACCCCAGGUCAGGCGGGAUCACCCGCUGAGUUUAAGCAUAUCAAUAAGCGGAGGAGAAGAAACUUAC
rnacentral:rRNA from 1 species